CCCCGGCGGCGACGGUGGCAGCCCCGCCAUUCGGCAGCGCGCCCGCGUUCGGUCAGGCGGCGGCGCCGGUGGCGCCGUCGGCCGGCUUCGCGUUUGGCGCCGGAGCGGGCGCCGCCCCGGUCUUCAACUUCGGCAGCGGACAGCAACAGCCGCCGCAGCAGGAGGCGUCGGCCGCCGCGUCCGCUACACCUGGCGUCUUCCGCUUCGGAACGCCGUCAGCUGCGCCUGCCGGGCCAGCUGCGCCGGCAUUCGGAGCGACGAACCCCGCACAGGCGGCCAACCCAUUCGUGGUGUCGGGUACCGGCGUCCCGGCCGGCCGGCGGAUCCGGACUGCCAAGCGGCGCACGAAAAAGUGAUGCCGCGGCGGGGCUGGCCGUGCGAUUGCGUGUGAGUGAGAGUGGAGCGAGCGAGCGAGCGAGCGAGCGAGCCGGACGGCCGAUCGGACCGGGCCGCGGCAGAGAGGGCCGCGCCGGCGCCACGCGUACAAAUACCAGUCAUUCCGCGCGCGCGCCGCCGUGCGGGCCACCAGUGCCGGACGGACGCCCGGCCGGCCGGCGUCCGGGGGGCGCUGACUACACCAAGGGCCUGGCGACGCAGUCUCCCCGCAAUCGUUCACGCGCAUUUGUCGCCGAGCUUGUUUAGCCCCCUCCCGUUAAUGAGAGCAGCUUCUGAACUGCCACGCCAUCUGUGAUAAGGUUCUGUGAUCUGCCAGGCCCUUGGGUUUUAGCGUGACAAGUGAGCUGGUGUGCGUGCCGAGGACGUGCUGUCCGUGGGAGGCCUCUGCCGAUGUCUCUUGCGUGCGCAGCGUAUUGUAAUCUUCCGACGAGCCCGCCGUGCGGUGCUGGAGCGACUGGGUUGCGCUGUCUCCGUGUCAAAUUGAACUGCUGGGAUUACGCGAUUAAUACCGUUUUCAGUGUGAAAUUGUGUACGAAUGUGAUGACUCGGACUGCUCCCAUUGUAUUUUUAUGUCUGUUCAACCAGUUCAAACUUGUACGUAUCGCAACGACGGUGUUAAGAUGAUUGUUUUGUCGCCAGUUACUGGGUGAGACUAUUCAGACAAAUAAAUUGAGACUGAGACUGACAAAGAUUUUGAA